rnacentral:lncRNA from 1 species
AAAGGGGAUCGAGAUCUCGCGAGCUACCGGCCAUGUCUCGACGCGCCGCAGCCGCCGACGGAGAGUCCCGUCGCCGCCUUGCCGCUCCUCAUCCUCCUCGUCUUUCUCCUCUCAACUUCACUCGGUAUGGUCGCCACACCGGGGCGUGCAGUUCGGCGAGCAAGAGGGGCGGCGACGGGCGACAGCGGCGGUGCGGUAGCGGAUGAGGCGUACUACUCCAGCUGGGAAUCGGCAGUGGCAGUGGUGGUGGCGGGGCGACGAAGGCUAGUCCGGCCAGGGUCGUCGCCGCCGACAUGCCGGAGCCGGUGCGGUGGCUGCCACCCAAGCUUGUUCUUCCCGGCUGCGUCGCCAUUGCUGCACGGACAAGGUUUAGCUGCUACCUAGCUGGAGCAAGAGCCAUCGACAAUACUGCAGCCAAGAAGGACAUUGCUGAG